AUUGAACGCUGGCGGAAUGCUUUACACAUGCAAGUCGAGCGGCAGCGCGGGGCAACCUGGCGGCGAGCGGCGAACGGGUGAGUAAUGCAUCGGAACGUGUCCAUGUCGUGGGGGAUAGCCCGGCGAAAGCCGGAUUAAUACCGCAUACGCCCGAGAGGGGAAAGUGGGGGACCGCAAGGCCUCACGCGAUUGGUUCGGCCGAUGUCCGAUUAGCUAGUUGGCGGGGUAAAGGACCACCAAGGCGAUGAUCGGUAGCUGGUCUGAGAGGAUGGUCCGCCACACGGGGACUGAGACACGGCCCAGACCACUACUGGAGGCAGCAGUGGGGAAUUUUGGACAAUGGGGGCAACCCUGAUCCAGCAAUGCCGCGUGUGUGAAGAAGGCCUUCGGGUUGUAAAGCACUUUUGUCCGGAAAGAAAUGGCUCUGGUUAAUACCUGGGGUCGAUGACGUUACCGGAAGAAUAAGGACCGGCUAACUACGUGCCAGCAGCCGCCGUAA
rnacentral:rRNA from 1 species